AACGAACGUUGGCGGCGUGGAUUAGGCAUGCAAGUCGAACGAAUCCCUGGGGGCUUGCUCUCAGGGGAAAGUGGCGAAAGGGGCAGUAAGGCGUGGGUAACCUACCCUGGGGACUGGGAUAGCCGUCCUAACGGACGGGUAAUACCGGGCGACGUAGCCGAGGGGCAUCUCUUGGCUACCAAAUGAAUUUCGCCCUGGGCGGGGCUCACGUGGUAUUAGCUAGUUGGUGGGGUAACGGCCCACCAAGGCAAAGAUGCCUAGCGGGUGUGAGAGCACGACCCGCGCCACUGGCACUGCGACACUGGCCAGACUCCUACGGGAGGCUGCAGUCGAGGAUCUUCCGCAAUGGGCGAAAGCCUGACGGAGCGACGCCGCGUGGGCGAUGAAGGCCUUCGGGUUGUAAAGCCCUUUUGUACGGGAGGAAGGCGCAAGCUUGACUGUACCGUACGAAUAAGCUCGGGCUAAGUUCGUGCCAGCCGCCGCCGUAAAAC
rnacentral:rRNA from 1 species